rnacentral:piRNA from 1 species
UCAAAAUGCCAACAGCAAGGCAAGGUG